UACGUAGGGUGCGAGCGUUGUCCGGAAUUAUUGGGCGUAAAGAGCUCGUAGGCGGUUUGUCGCGUCUGCUGUGAAAACCGGAAGCUCAACCUCCGGCCUGCAGUGGGUACGGGCAAACUAGAGUGCGGUAGGGGAGAUUGGAAUUCCUGGUGUAGCGGUGGAAUGCGCAGAUAUCAGGAGGAACACCGAUGGCGAAGGCAGAUCUCUGGGCCGUAACUGACGCUGAGGAGCGAAAGCGUGGGGAGCGAACAGG
rnacentral:rRNA from 1 species